UACGGGGGGAGCAAGCGUUGUUCGGAUUUACUGGGCGUAAAGGGCGCGUAGGCGGCCACCGCAAGUCGACUGUGAAAUCUCCGGGCUUAACCCGGAAAGGUCAGCCGAUACCGCGGGGCUAGAGUGCAGAAGGGGCAACUGGAAUUCUCGGUGUAGCGGUGAAAUGCGUAGAGUAUCGAGAGGAACACCUGCGGCGAAGGCGGGUUGCUGGGCUGACACUGACGCUGAAGCGCGAAAGCUAGGGGAGCGAACGGG
rnacentral:rRNA from 1 species